AGAGGGGAAAACUAUUCGAAGUUGAUUAAAUUCAUUUUUCUGUAAUUGUGUCAUACUAAAAAAUAUUCACACUUGAUUUUAACUAUAAAUUUGAUAAUGCUUUACUACAAGGAGGUGAUAUUUCGUCUGCUGCAUCAUAAUAAUCUUCGUCUUCAUCCGAAGAUGAAUAAGAGAAUUGGGGUACAGGGAGAUCCCUAUCCACAACAGCUUUACAAGUAAAAAUCAAUGAAAAUAUGUAUUUUAAUCCGUUUGUCUACUUGAUUGAUAAUUUUAUUUUUAGGAAUACUAUAACUUAAUAAUUUGACAUUUAUUUUUAAUUUAGUACACAUAAAUAAGAAAAAAUAAAUUACCAUUUGGCAAUGUAGGUACCCUUAGUUCUACACAUUCGGAACCUAAUUCAAUACCAGUCUGUACAGUUGCUUCUGGUUCUCUAACAGCAACUAAAAUUUAUUAUAUUGCAUGUCUUUCAUUAUAGGUGUAUUUUAUACUCACAUUUAAAUACAUACCAUGAGAUAAUGAAGACGAAA